rnacentral:tRNA from 1 species
GCCUAGGUGGCUCAGUCAGUUAAGCAUCUGACUUCGGCUCAGGUCAUGAUCUCACGGUUUGUGGGUUCGAGUCCCAUGUCGGGCU